rnacentral:rRNA from 1 species
AUUUAUAUAAGAGUUUGAUCCUGGCUCAGGAUGAACGCUGGCGG